rnacentral:tRNA from 1 species
CUCUCGGUAGCUCAGUUGGCAGAGCAGUUGACUCUUAAUCAACGGGUCGUGGGUUCGAUUCCCCCCCGGGAGA